CGGGCCCUGAUGAAGAGAAGGCUGGGUCCCCUUUGAAGAGCGCAUCCCCACUGGCUGCUACCCCAUUGCUUACAGAAAUAGACUACUGAAACGGGAUCAGAGGUUGCCAGAUAAAAGCUGUUUUUGGUAUCCUCGCCCUCUGUGAAGCCAGUGGCAGUGGAAAAUUCCCCAUUUUCAGCCACAGCACCUGUUUUCCCAUGGGACACGGGCAGCAAGGGCCUGUUGUGGCCAGAGCGGUUCUGGGCAGCCCAACUUCAGAUGCCCC